GGGGAAUAUUGGACAAUGGGCGAAAGCCUGAUCCAGCCAUGCCGCGUGAGUGAUGAAGGCCCUAGGGUUGUAAAGCUCUUUCAGUGGGGAAGAUAAUGACGGUACCCACAGAAGAAGCCCCGGCUAACUUCGUGCCAGCAGCCGCGGUAAUACGAAGGGGGCUAGCGUUGUACGGAAUUACUGGGCGUAAAGCGCACGUAGGCGGAUCUUUAAGUCAGGGGUGAAAUCCCGGGGCUCAACCCCGGAACAGCCUCUGAUACUGGGGAUCUCGAGUCCGAGAGAGGUGAGUGGAAUUCCGAGUGUAGAGGUGAAAUUCGUAGAUAUUCGGAGGAACACCAGUGGCGAAGGCGGCUCACUGGCUCGGUACUGACGCUGAGGUGCGAAAGCGUGGGGAGCAAAC
rnacentral:rRNA from 1 species